GUUACAGAAUGCUUGGAUGAUUUAAUGAACUAAAUCUAUUUGGUUAGCAAUUUGUUUUGCAAGUUUGCUAUCCUAUAAUAUGAAUUAAAAUAAUGAAGGGAUUUGUACCUAAUUUGCAGAUACAAAUAAAAAUAAAUGUGAAUUCAUGGAUUAUAUGUUUAAAUAUAGGGAUGAGCAAUUGCCAGCUGAAAGCUAUUAAGACACAUGUAUUGGGGAAAAAAAUGAGAAAUUUUAAUUGCAACAACUAAUAACUUUAGCUUUGCAUUGCAUUUUGGGGAUGCAACUGAGAGUAUUUGCACACACCAGAAAAUGACACAGAUUGAACUGACAGCUCAAUUGCAAGAACAAAAGUUCAGCUGGAAAAGCAUCUACUAUUUUUUCCUGCUACCUUAUAUUAGUCUUUGUUUUGUAAAUAAAUUAACAACAUUUUUACUUUUCAGCAGAAAAAAUGUCGUUUUCAUCUUUCUUUUAAGAAAUAGUAAUACAUGUUAUUCAUCUGUAUAAUUUUACCAGCAUUUUAAGAUAAAUAAGAUAUUGUCCUUAAAUUCAUGUUUUCAGGACACUUCUUGAUGUCAAAAUAGAGCGAUAGGAGACACAGUAAUAUCCUGAAAGCUUAUGGAAGGUAUAUAUAUAGAUACAUUGUCUGUGAACAUCCAUCUUUCCAUGUAGGUAGCAUAGCAGAGUUAUACAAAAUUCUAUAAUCCCAAUUUAAAAACAAAUUUAUACUAAUACCAAUUUUAUCUUUGGGAAUCAAAGCGACCAAAAAGAAGUUUUGAGAUUUAUGUUAUACAAGUGAUGUGUCUACUUACAUUAGAGUUAUUUUUAUAUUUUUAUGAUCUGCAACAUGAUGGCAACUUUAUAAAUACAAUGUAGAUGAAAAUCCAAACAUAUGUUUUAUAUUAAAUCGCUCCUUAUCGUUCUUUAAAUCAUGACCUACAUAUCUGGUUUGACCUGCUACCCUUCUUUAGACAUUUUCCCGCCCUUAGUAAUUUUCAACACUUUGCUAUUUAUCAAGGAGGAAUAUCUGAAACCUCCUGGCCAAGAGAAUGUGGGUAAAUCCCAAGAUUAUCCAUCUUGCUGCAACCUUACAUCUCACCUGUGUCCUCAACUCUCAACUCUCUUUGGACUGUAAGCUUGAACGAGCAAGCCCUUCAACAGUUUAUGUUUCAAACUAAACAUUUAGUCAACUUAUCUGUAGUUUGAUUAAAUAGUAUAGAAGAUAGGCCCUUUACAGUAAAACAUGAAUUAUAAAAAAAGUUAUGAUGUAUUAUUUUAUUAUUUUUUUAUUGGCAGGACAAGGUCAUGAGUAUAAAAUCACUCCUUGUGAACUGACCUUAGGUAUAUUGAAUAGGACUGGAAUCAAUCAUGACACCAUAGGAAGCCGAGUUUGGCAUCUUUAACCUUUUAGAAUUUUCAGAAUACUUUCAGCAGUAUAAGCAUCAGACAAACAGGCUAAGGUUGUUGAAUGAUAAUUAAAGUCUAUUUUCUGCAUCUAGGAGCACUCGGUGGGUCGUUCCACACCUUAAGUGUUACUAAAGAUUUCUGGCUGGGUAAGAUCAAUAUUCUGAAACACAGACAUCAUUUAUUGUUUCAUUUGGCCUGCAGGGGACCACACAUCUUUCUACUUAGUAAAACAAAAAAAUUCAAUGUUUUCUCAGAAACAUUCAUUAAUUUGAAAUAUCCUGAAGCAGCAAUUCUUAGACAUAAGUCACUUUAGGGUGGCUGGCUAUAACUGCUUACGCUUUGAUUGUAAUGCAUUUUUUGGGGGGUAAUUAUUAGCAGGGUGCAUUAAUAACAAUCCAAAGCUUGUUGAGGCAGUACAUUUUUACAAAGUUGCUUUGUGUGAAUUGACAACAAAAAUUCUACAUUUCCAUUAUUUCAAAGAGAUUUAAUGUUACAUCAGGGAAGUUUAGCUGUAUAACAAAAAAUGUUGCUUGUCACUUAUUUUGAAUGUGCUGCUGAACCACCUUAUAAAUAGUUUAAACCUGGAAGACUAUUAUAUUACGUAAAUUGCCAAAUGCUGCAUAAGAACAUAAUAUACAAUGAACAGGUUUAACCAAUUGGUAUUAUAUGUAUAGUUUGAAAAUUAAAUGUGAUCUAUGC